UUACCAUAGGGAACAAAGGACGGCACCUGAUGUUGGUCGAACAAGUCAUACCACGAAGUAUGUUAUGCAGUGUUAUGCUGUUAUGCAGUGUUUUGCUGGCAUCCGUCCGCUUAAAUACCCCCCGCCGAGGGACACAUAAUGCUGAACACCUGAUGAUGUGUUCCAGUCCUUGGGAUUGGAUGAAGUGAGGCAGCGAAAGGAGGACCCCUGGCUCCUGGUUCAUACGUGUGGCUUGUCCGUGGGACUGGGGGUGGUAACCAGAGGUAAGGGCAUAUCUAGCACAGAGGGCAGUGGAGAACUCCUUCCAGAUGUGGGCGGUGAACUGGGGCCGUGGUCUGUAAGGAUCUCUUGGGUGAUGCUGUGGAGGCGGAACACAUGCCUGGCCAGAAACUGAGCAGUCUGGAAGGCCGAGAGGAGCUUACGAAGAGGAACCAGGUGACAAUCGUUAGGAUGGUGGUCAUCCCCUGGGAGGAGGGAAGGACAGUGACCAAGUCCAAUUCAAUGUGCGACCAGGGGCGUUUGGGGAUCGGGAGUGGCUGGAGAAGGCCCGAAGGAGGUGGCUGCAGUUGACGGGUGGGCAUGGCCCGCACCUGCGGCUCAUUUGGACUGCUUCUUUCUCGCUUAAAAGGAGUGCUCAAACAGCUGGAAGACGCCAGAGUGUUACCCCGUUGUGUUCAUCGUGUUUUUGGAUUUGCUCACUUGUGUUGGCUCUGUGCAUCGAAGACCAGAUCCUCGAAUCCCCGCUGCUCAGAUUUUGCUCUGGCGUCUCCCCUCAAACUCCCUUUGUGUUACCAACUGGGCAAGAGAGCCACUCCCUGGAUUCACCCUGGUUCUUCUGGAAUCACCCUGGUUCUUCCAGCUGCUCCUCCUGCCUGCCGCCGCAGUGGUGCUGCUCAGGCUCCCCGCCUGUAUAACAUCUGCCAGCCCUCCCGUCACUCAGCCAUCUCCUUCCACGAGAGACUUUACGGUCACAGAACUCCUUUUCCACUCAUCCUCCCGGAUAGGUCCUCCCAGCCAAGCGGUAAGCACA